GACGAACGCUGGCGGCGUGCUUAACACAUGCAAGUCGAACGAUGAACCCGGAGCUUGCUCCGGUGGAUUAGUGGCGAACGGGUGAGUAACACGUGAGUAACCUGCCCUUGACUCUGGGAUAACUGCGGGAAACUGUAGCUAAUACCGGAUACGACCCUCGGCGGCAUCGCCAGGGGGUGGAAAGAAUUUCGGUCAAGGAUGGACUCGCGGCCGAUCAGCUAGUUGGUGAGGUAACGGCUCACCAAGGCGACGACGGGGAGCCGGCCUGAGGGGGUGCCCGGCAACACUGGGAACGAGACGCGGCCCGGACUCCUAAGGGAGGCAGCAGUGGGGAAUAUUUCACAAUGGGCGCAAGCCUGAUGCAGCGACGCCGCGUGAGGGAUGACGGCCUUCGGGUUGUAAACCUCUUUUAGUAGGGAAGAAGCUAAAGUGACGGUACCUGCAGGAAAAGCACCGGCUAACUACGUGCCAGCCGCCGCAGUAA
rnacentral:rRNA from 1 species